GGCGGUGUAGCUCAGCUGGCUAGAGCGUACGGUUCAUACCUGUGAGGUCGGGGGUUCGAUCCCCUCCGCCGCUA
rnacentral:tRNA from 1 species